AAUAGAGUUGCAACGUUAUGGAUUUUGACAGUAAAAAAAAUGCACACGCCUCAUGCAAACAGCGUCGCAACGCUCUCACAAGCACCUAUCUUCAUCUUCCCCUUCUUCUGCUCGAACUCUCAUUCCUCCAAACUCACUUUCUCAAUCACACUUCCACAAUCCCUCACCCGAACACCAGAGGAAUUCAACCCAUCUAAGAUCUGAAUUUCGUCCUAGUUCCACCCAGCACCAUCGAGGUUCGUUUUAGAUCCAUGAUCUUCGGGCUUCAUUUAAUUUCAUGUUCAUCUAAGCAGAUCUGUGUUGCUGUAGAUCGAGCUUCGAGCUUCGAUCCACGAGGUUCGUUUCAGAUCCACGAGGUUGGUGCUUCGAUCCAUCGGUUUUUUCGAUUGUGAAGGUUGCGUUUCUUGAAUGGUAUUUGGCGAUGGUUAAAUAUCAUCCUGUUCUUACCAAGAGUGUCACUUCUGCACUUAUUUACACGGCUGCUGAUUUGUUGUCUCAGAUCAUCUCCGCCAUCAGGGUGGUGUAACAGAUCUUACAUUUGAUACUUUAGGCUAUGGAUGGCAGAUCACGAACUGUGUUCUCACAGCAAGCUAUUCAGACUGGAUUUGAAGAGAGAGAGGAUUUGCCUAUUGUGCUAAAUACAGUCCUUGCAGGCAGGUACUAUGUAACCGAAUGCCUAGGAUCGACGACUUUUAGUAAAGUUGUUCAAGCACACGAUCUUCAUAUGGGAGUAGACAUUUGCCUAAAGAUCAUUAAAAACGACAGAGAUUUUUUCGACCAGAGCUUAGAUGAAAUCAAACUUCUAAAGCUUGUUACAAACAUGACCCUGUAGAUCAGUGCCACAUUUUACGGCUUUAUGACUACUUUCAUCAUCAGUUCUUCAAUGAAAAAUGGUACUGUGAAGUAAAAUAUAGCUGAAGAAGAUGGUGGAGACCGUUUGAAGAGCAAGUCUGAUGCUCCAAAUCUUAAGGUGCUCAAAGCGACAAGUUCAAGGUGGGCUACGUUAUUCUUGUGGAGGCAGGAGUAUAGUGAACGAGAUUUGGCUAGGAUUACUUCAUAUGGGAUUGAUAGGUGUACCUUUUUAAUUGUUCUUAGAGGGGAUGGAGGUUGUUGAUUGUACAAUACUUUAUGAUGUUGUAAUAUUGACAAUGUUAAUGAAGCGAAGUUUUUAUAAA